GAAAGCGAUGCUAAUACCGAAUGACAUCUCAAUAACUCCGGUCUUUGAGAUCAAAGGUGGCCUCUCCAUGGAAGCUACUGUUUGGAGAUGAGCCCGCGUACCAUUAGCUUGUUGGUAGGGUAAUGGCCUACCAAGGCAACGAUGGUUAGCUGGUCUGAGAGGAUGAUCAGCCACACUGGAACUGACACACGGUCCAGACUCCUACGGGAGGCAGCAGUGAGGAAUUUUGCGCAAUGGGGGAAACCCUGACGCAGNAUNNNCCGCGUGAGUGAUGAAGGCUUUCGGGUCGUAAAGCUCUGUCAAGUGAGAAGAACCUGUCCUUUGCUAAUAUCAUAGGGCACUGACGGUAUCACUGAAGGAAGCACCGGCUAACUCCGUGCCAGCAGCCGCGGUAAUACGGAGGGUGCAAGCGUUAUUCGGAAUCACUGGGCGUAAAGAGCGCGUAGGCGGUUUCUAAAGUCAGAUGUGAAAGCCCGGGGCUCAACCCCCGGAAGUGCAUUUUGAAACUUAGGGACUUGAGUAUGGGA
rnacentral:rRNA from 1 species